GCUACACAUGCAGUCGAGCGGUAGAGAGAAGCUUGCUUCUCUUGAGAGCGGCGGACGGGUGAGUAAUGCCUAGGAAUCUGCCUGGUAGUGGGGGAUAACGUUCGGAAACGGACGCUAAUACCGCAUACGUCCUACGGGAGAAAGCAGGGGACCUUCGGGCCUUGCGCUAUCAGAUGAGCCUAGGUCGGAUUAGCUAGUUGGUGAGGUAAUGGCUCACCAAGGCGACGAUCCGUAACUGGUCUGAGAGGAUGAUCAGUCACACUGGAACUGAGACACGGUCCAGACUCCUACGGGAGGCAGCAGUGGGGAAUAUUGGACAAUGGGCGAAAGCCUGAUCCAGCCAUGCCGCGUGUGUGAAGAAGGUCUUCGGAUUGUAAAGCACUUUAAGUUGGGAGGAAGGGCAGUUACCUAAUACGUGAUUGUUUUGACGUUACCGACAGAAUAAGCACCGGCUAACUCUGUGCCAGCAGCCGCGGUAAUACAGAGGGUGCAAGCGUUAAUCGGAAUUACUGGGCGUAAAGCGCGCGUAGGUGGUUAGUUAAGUUGGAUGUGAAAUCCCCGGGCUCAACCUGGGAACUGCAUUCAAAACUGACUGACUAGAGUAUGGUAGAGGGUGGUGGAAUUUCCUGUGUAGCGGUGAAAUGCGUAGAUAUAGGAAGGAACACCAGUGGCGAAGGCGACCACCUGGACUGAUACUGACACUGAGGUGCGAAAGCGUGGGGAGCAAACAGGAUUAGAUACCCUGGUAGUCCACGCCGUAACGAUGUCAACUAGCCGUUGGGAGCCUUGAGCUCUUAGUGGCGCAGCUAACGCAUUAAGUUGACCGCCUGGGGGAGUACGGGCCGCAAGGUUAAAACUCAAUGAAUUGACGGGGGCCCGCACAAGCGGUGGAGCAUGUGGUUUAAUUCNAAGCAACNCGAANAACCUUACCAGGCCNUNGACAUCCAAUGNAACUUUCUAGAGAUAGAUUGGUGCCCUUCGGGAAC
rnacentral:rRNA from 1 species